GCGGGGAUAGCUCAGUUGGGAGAGCGUCAGACUGAAGAAAAAACUUCGGUUCAGUCUAUCUGAAGGUCGUCGGUUCAAUCCCGACUCACCGCA
rnacentral:tRNA from 1 species